UUAGCUCAGGUUUAUCUGAAGACACCAGGGA
rnacentral:piRNA from 1 species